GUAACACUGCUUGCAAGUUAUACUAAAUUUGCUCAUUAGCGAACUCCGUAACCUGUGAUUCCACGACGAUCCAGCACUAAGCCAUCGUUCAUUACGCCACCUCAAGAAUCGUCCCAGAGCAAUCAUUGGGCGAAAACUCUGUUGCCUUCGACGUCCUCAAGGCUCUCGCUCCUUGCAACUUCCUCGUCUUUGGUCUCGGCAAUGAUUCCCUCACGUAGACAUGGUUGAAUCCACAGGUUUAAUUAGUCCAAUUAUGAAUUAAUUGGUGCUAUGUUUUCCAGGUUUGUACGAAAGGCACAAAUGAAUAAGCAGUCAUCAAUAUGCCAUUUUGUUUUCACAUUAAGAAUAUAUGGCUGAAUGAGCCUUGUCUAGGUGGGGAUUGAAAAGCCCUGAUGUUUUCAAUAUUUUACCAUAACCCACUUCAUUCAGUUGGUGAAUCACUGUGUUCUCUUCGAUUUGUUGCUAGAGUUAAUGCUUGUGAAAUUGGAAUUCCUCGAUGUUAGACAACUAGUAACUAUUAUCUAUAAGAAGGGUCAUUUUGAAAUGCUACCUGCAGCUAAUGCAACUCAGGGAGGAGGAGACGCGGGUGGCAAAUGGUUUUGCUAGAAAGAACCCUGCUGGUCCACGAUGAUGCCAUCAAUUUUGCUCUUGCAAUGCUUGAAUAACCUUUCAA